AUUGAACGCUGGCGGCAGGCCUAACACAUGCAAGUCGAACGAGUGGCGGACGGGUGAGUAAUGUCUGGGAAACUGCCUGAUGGAGGGGGAUAACUACUGGAAACGGUAGCUAAUACCGCAUACCAUCAGAUGUGCCCAGAUGGGAUUAGCUUGUUGGUGGGGUAACGGCUCACCAAGGCGACGAUCCCUAGCUGGUCUGAGAAGAUGACCCGCCACACGUGAACUGAGAAAGGGUCCAGACUCCUACGGGGGGCAUGAGGGGGGAAUAUUGCACAAUGGGAGCAAGCCUGAUGAGGCCAUGCGGCGUGUAUGAAGAAGGCCUGCGGGUUGUAAAGUACUUUCAGCGGGGAGGCGUUACCAGAAGAAGAAGCACCGGCUAACUCCGUGCCAGCAGCCGCGGUAAUAA
rnacentral:rRNA from 1 species